UGGGGAAUAUUGGACAAUGGGCGAAAGCCUGAUCCAGCCAUGCCGCGCGUGUGAAGAAGGUCUUCGGAUUGUAAAGCACUUUAAGUUGGGAGGAAGGGCAUUAACCUAAUACGUUAGUGUUUUGACGUUACCGACAGAAUAAGCACCGGCUAACUCUGUGCCAGCAGCCGCGGUAAUACAGAGGGUGCAAGCGUUAAUCGGAAUUACUGGGCGUAAAGCGCGCGUAGGUGGUUUGUUAAGUUGGAUGUGAAAUCCCCGGGCUCAACCUGGGAACUGCAUUCAAAACUGACUGACUAGAGUAUGGUAGAGGGUGGUGGAAUUUCCUGUGUAGCGGUGAAAUGCGUAGAUAUAGGAAGGAACACCAGUGGCGAAGGCGACCACCUGGACUAAUACUGACACUGAGGUGCGAAAGCGUGGGGAGCAAACA
rnacentral:rRNA from 1 species